rnacentral:rRNA from 1 species
UACGGAGGGGGCUAGCGUUGUUCGGAAUUACUGGGCGUAAAGCGCACGUAGGCGGAUGUGUCAGUCAGGGGUGAAAUCCCGGAGCUCAACUUCGGAACUGCCUUUGAUACAGCACGUCUUGAGUCCGAUAGAGGUGGGUGGAAUUCCUAGUGUAGAGGUGAAAUUCGUAGAUAUUAGGAAGAACACCGGUGGCGAAGGCGGCCCACUGGAUCGGUACUGACGCUGAGGUGCGAAAGCUAGGGGAGCGAACGGG